AUUGAACGCUGGCGGCAUGCUUUACACAUGCAAGUCGAACGGUAACAGGCCGCAAGGUGCUGACGAGUGGCGAACGGGUGCGUAAUGCAUCGGAACGUGCCCAGUCGUGGGGGAUAACUACUCGUAAGAGUAGCUAAUACCGCAUACGAUCUAUGGAUGAAAGCGGGGGACCGUAAGGCCUCGCGCGAUUGGAGCGGCCGAUGUCAGAUUAGGUAGUUGGUGGGGUAAAGGCUCACCAAGCCAACGAUCUGUAGCUGGUCUGAGAGGACGACCAGCCACACUGGGACUGAGACACGGCCCAGACUCCUACGGGAGGCAGCAGUGGGGAAUUUUGGACAAUGGGCGCAAGCCUGAUCCAGCAAUGCCGCGUGCAGGAAGAAGGCCUUCGGGUUGUAAACUGCUUUUGUACGGAACGAAACGGCUCUGGUUAAUACCCGGGGCUAAUGACGGUACCGUAAGAAUAAGCACCGGCUAACUACGUG
rnacentral:rRNA from 1 species